GAUGAACGCUGGUGGCGUGCCUAACACAUGCAAGUCGAGCGAUUCUCUUCGGCGAUGAGCGGCGGCCGGGUGAGUAACGCGGGGGUAACCUGCCCUGUACACACCGCUAACAUACCGAAAGAUAUCCGAAUACGAGAUCACAUGCUUUUUUCGCAUGCUAGAAGUAUCAAAGCUGUUGCGGUACGGGAUGGACCCGCGUCUGAUUAGCUAGUUGGUGAGGUGAUGGCAGACCAAGGCGAGGCCGAGUAGCCGACCUGAGACGGUGAUCCGCGACAUCGGAAAUGAGACACGGUCCACAAUGGUACGGAACGGAGCAGUGGGGAAUAUUGCACGAGGGGCGAAAGCGCGAUGAAGCAGCGCGGGGUAAGAGAUGAAGGGCGUCGGGUCGUAAAGCUCUGUCCGAAAGGAAGAUAGUGACGGUACUUGAGGAGGAAGCCCCGGCUAACUACGUG
rnacentral:rRNA from 1 species